rnacentral:rRNA from 1 species
GACGAACGCUGGCGGCGUGCCUAACACAUGCAAGUCGAACGGGACCAGGGGCAACUCUGGUUCAGUGGCGGACGGGUGCGUAACACGUGAGGAACAUGACCUUCGGCGGGGGAUAGCCGGCCCAACGGCCGGGUAAUACCACGUACGACCUUUCGGGGACAUCCCUGGAUGGUGAAAGCAGCAAUGCGCCGAUGGAGUGCCUCGCGGCCUAUCAGCUAGUUGGUGAGGUAACGGCUCACCAAGGCGACGACGGGUAGCUGGUCUGAGAGGAUGGCCAGCCACAUUGGGACUGAGACACGGCCCAGACUCCUACGGGAGGCAGCAGUGGGGAAUAUUGCGCAAUGGACGAAAGUCUGACGCAGCGACGCCGCGUGUGGGAUGACGGUCUUCGGAUUGUAAACCACUGUCGGGAGGGACGAAUACGCCGCAAGGCGGGUGACGGUACCUCCAAAGGAAGCACCGGCUAACUCCGUGCCAGCAGCCGCGGUAAUACGGAGGGUGCG